rnacentral:rRNA from 1 species
AGUAACGCGUGGGUAACCUGCCUCGUACAGGGGGAUAACAGUUAGAAAUGACUGCUAAUACCGCAUGAGCGCACAGUGCUGCAGUGGCACAGUGUGAAAAACUCCGGUGGUAUGAGAUGGACCCGCGUCUGAUUAGCUAGUUGGUGGGGUAACGGCCUACCAAGGCGACGAUCAGUAGCCGGCCUGAGAGGGUGAACGGCCACAUUGGGACUGAGACACGGCCCAA